rnacentral:lncRNA from 1 species
CAACCCCCUCCUCCCGUCUUAUCCUUCCUAGGCGUCUCUGCCUUUCCUCGCCAUUCUGCAGCUUUCCCUGGUUUCUUAUUUUUCUUUUCUAUUCAUUUUUUUCCAACUGCUUUGCCCAUGGCUUGCUCGAUCCUUUGCUGUGACUUUCUCGUCCUGUUUGUAUGAAAGACAGUCUUGCACUUGAACCUAAAAUCCUAGCAGACUUUGGGAUGUUAUUGCCUCCUGAGGAACAGACUUCUCAUGCUGGGUUUCAGGGCUUUCCGUCCUUAUCAAAGAGCUUUCCUUUUUGUAAUCUACAACAGGUUAUACCUUUCCUCAGCCAGAGACCACAACCCUGUUUAUUAAAAAAUGAUUAUCUUUAUUCACUCUUUUGCCUACUUUGUGAAAUAGCUGAUCAUGAGAAGUCUACAUUAUUUCCAUGGAGAACACUGCCUCUGUCCUGUCAGUUUCAUGGCACUCAGGACUGGAAAGAUGUGCCUCUCUCAAGAGAAAUCACUCACUGGGCCUCCAAAGAACUGUCUGGGUCCACCUGCUCUCAGAUGAGUAAAAGGAGAGAGAUGAAGUUUUACAAAUGUAAUGAGAGCAGCAGUGGCCUGAAUAGGAAUUAUAAGAGAUGAACUGAAAGUGUGCUGGGCUUUUGCAACCCAGGAAAUGGAAAUGCAAUAAACAGACCUCUGUUCUUUCAUGCCAGGGUUGUGUAAAUUUUUAUUUUUCUAUGGGAAAUGCUAUUAGAUUGCGGAAAUGACAAUCAACAUAGG